UCCAGACUCCUACGGGAGGCAGCAGUGAGGAAUAUUGGUCAAUGGCCGGAAGGCUGAACCAGCCAAGCCGCGUGAGGGAUGAAGGUACAGAGUAUCGUAAACCUCUUUUGUCAGGGAACAAAGGCGGGGACGUGUCCCCGGAUGAGUGUACCUGAAGAAAAAGCAUCGGCUAACUCCGUGCCAGCAGCCGCGGUAAUACGGAGGAUGCGAGCGUUAUCCGGAUUUAUUGGGUUUAAAGGGUGCGUAGGCGGACGCUUAAGUCAGCGGUAAAAUUGCGGGGCUCAACCCCGUACUGCCGUUGAAACUGCAUCCCUUGAGUGCGCGAGAAGUAUGCGGAAUGCGUGGUGUAGCGGUGAAAUGCAUAGAUAUCACGCAGAACUCCGAUUGCGAAGGCAGCAUACCGGCGCGCAACUGACGCUCAUGCACGAAAGCGUGGGUAUCGAACAGGAUUAGAUACCCGGGUA
rnacentral:rRNA from 1 species